AAACGACUCUCGGCAACGGAUAUCUCGGCUCUCGCAUCGUAGAAGAACGUAGCGAAAU
rnacentral:rRNA from 1 species